AGGUCAAAAGAUUACUUGUACCACUCCUACUGGAGAACCAUCUGUCAACAUACUGUAAGGCUCCAUCAAAUAUUCUCCCUGUGGAUCAGUUCAAUGAACUUAUUCUCUAAUAAGCACCUACAUCUUUGUAUUAGUGUCACUACAUAAGUGACUAUGAGAUCAAUCAUCCUCUUCAUUGAGCAUACAUAGGAUGUACCAAUCUUACAGACAUCAUCGAUCUCUGACUCGAUGAUC
rnacentral:lncRNA from 1 species